GUAGGUGGCAAGCGUUGUCCGGAAUUAUUGGGCGUAAAGCGCGCGCAGGCGGUUCUUUAAGUCUGAUGUGAAAGCCCACGGCUCAACCGUGGAGGGUCAUUGGAAACUGGAGAACUUGAGUACAGAAGAGGAAAGCGGAAUUCCACGUGUAGCGGUGAAACGCGUAGAGAUGUGGAGGAACACCAGUGGCGAAGGCGGCUUUCUGGUCUGUAACUGACGCUGAGGCGCGAAAGCGUGGGGAGCAAACAGGGAUUAGAUACCCUGGUAGUCCACGCCGUAACGAUGAGUGCUAAGUGUUAGGGGGGUUUCCGCCCCCUUAGUGCUGCAGCUAACGCAUUAAGCACUCCGCCUGGGGAGUACGGCCGCAAGGCUG
rnacentral:rRNA from 1 species